GGGUGCUUAACGGAAGGAUCUGCUUCCGGGUUAAAAUACGCAAUUUAAAAGCGCCGAAACCAGCGUAACGGUCAUUUUGUGCUGGUAUCUGCGUGAGAGAGCCAUGCCUACAAACGGCCUUUCUUACCAAGGAACAGCACUGUGGUGCCUACUCCAUGGCCACUCCUUGCCUGCUUCCUGUCUCUUCUGUUUGGAGUGAUGGAUCGCUCUGCUUCUCUGGUGAUGGCUGCUUUUUUUUUUUUUGAAUGAUGCAGCAUGCAAGUCCUGGCUGCUCUCUGCUUCAGAAUAGACAGGGAGCUCUGGGUCUGCAAAUGGCCAUGGCGGACGCCAACUUACUGUGGUGGAGGGGGUUCAUCCCAGUGAUCCUAGGAGCUAUGUUGCUGGAGGCAAUAGCCUCUGGUAAAGUCUUGAGGCAGAUUGAUCCUAGGUGAGGGGCCAGAAUUAGGACAAGUCAAAUCCCUAUGAAGGACAAGAACCCAGAGAUUGCCCACAACGGGGAUGUGGGACAAUGGAGGUUGGGCCUUGGAUGAGCCAUGAAGUUCUGGUGCAUUGUGGAUCGAGCAGCAGCCAAAGACGGGGGCGGUGGCCUUGGUGGACCUCCCUCACAGUUAAUGAAACUGCCUUUAGGGACAUGGGUGGCCAUGGCUGAGCAUCCUGGGUGAUCAGUUCCUCUGUGAAAUGGAGUCUGUUACAUGCACUACUUGUAAUGAUGCAGAAGCUCUCUUCAGAUUUGAGCGCUUAAGGUGUAAUUUGACAACUGAAUAAAAUUCCCUUUGAAGAUGA